rnacentral:tRNA from 1 species
GCGCCCGUGGCUCAAAGGAUAGAGCGUCUCGCUUCGGACGAGAAGGUUGGGGGUUCGAGUCCCUCCGGGCGCA